UCUUCUUCCACAUUAGCUUCCAUCAUAACUCUUAUCUCUCUAUCUUUCUCGGGAACAUAUAAUAAUCUUUCUAACUCUCUUGAAAAAUGAAAUACUCUUGGUGUUUUGUCUCAUCCAUUCUCGUGAUUUCUUUCAUGCUUUUCUUUGCCACAGAGAUGGAUCUGGUGGAAGCAAAAACUCACGAGGAAAAAAGCAAGACUUACAGACGUUUAUGCGUGGACGAAACAGGAUGCAACCAUGCAUGCAUUUUUAAUGAGCAUUUCGCAGGAGGUCAUUGCCGACACUUAGAAUGUUUCUGUUUUCGCUAAUACUUAUGAUGUAAUUCUUCAUCAUGUUAAUUACUCUAAAAACAUAUAAUAUUCUAUCUUAUCUCUUAUAUCCUUGUUAACUGGUUAUUGAGAAUAUAUGUUUGGUUAAUGAUA